rnacentral:rRNA from 1 species
CCAGCCUACGGGGGGCAGCAGUAGGGAAUUUUCGUCAAUGGGCGCAAGCCUGAACCAGCAAUGUCGCGUGAACGAGGAAGGUCCUCGGAUCGUAAAGUUCUGUUGAAGGGGAAAAAGAGCGGAGAGAGGAAAUGCUUUCUGAUUGAUAUUACCCUUCGAGGAAGUCACGGCUAACUACGUGCCCGCAGCCGCGGCAAUACGUAGGUGGCGAGCGUUAUCCGGAAUGAUUGGG